rnacentral:lncRNA from 1 species
GUGAUGAGAAGAGAUGCUUCUAUGUGAUACAUUACUUUGCUAAGCUUGACCCUGUAUUUGCCAGCCAUUUCUACAUGCUACUGUAUUAUAUAUUCUCAUUCUUUGAAGAUGGUAUCGAACAAGAACCCUGUACAUAUCAUACUGUAGAGUUCAUGGAAAGUUAUAGCAACCAGGAUAUGCUUGCAACUGCUCUGAACCUGACUUAAAAGAUGCUUUGUUUCUUUUUCUCUGCCUCCCCCCCGCCCCCUCCCCCCCCUCCUCAAAAAAAAAAAGAAAAAAAAAGAAAAAAGAAAGAAGAAGCAGCAUUCACCACUUCAACUGUAAGCUACAGAUAACUUAUUUAGCUUUACUAGAAUGGCAUCUUUUACCCUUUAAUAAUGACCUUUUUGAGUGUUACCUCUUUUAGUCAAUGUCUUGUUAUGUAUAUGCAGUACUUUGUGCUGUGUACUCUGGUUGCUCUGUGUAUCUUUGUCACUUUUCACUGGUUUAUUCAUUUUUAUCGCUCCCUAAAUAGUUCUACCAUUUAUCGUAGCUGAAAACUUGAGUACAUUACCAUCUAGAUGUAUUGCUGAAUAACUAUUCUUCUACCUUUUGUCUGCUCUUUUUUGCUGGGUCACAUUUAUCGCUGGGUUUGUUGCUUUUGAUUGCUGGGGUGGUGGCGCCUUCAGUGUAUCUAGGUAAGCAGUAUUGUUGACGAUUUGGCUGGUAUUGCAUUUGAUUUGCUUGGAAAAAGGGUAGUUAAUUUAGUUCUCUUUGGAUUUCUCAUGCAGGCAGCUAUGAUUCUGAGGAGAAGGCAGCAAGAGCGCAUGAUCUUGCAGCUCUUAAAUACUGGGGUGCAAGCACAAAUGCCAAACUAAAUUUCCCUGUGAGAUUACCAAUGCAAUCUUGUGUGUGUGCUGUGAGAUUACUAAUGCAAUCUUUUGCAUGCAUGCAUGUGUAAAUAUAUGCAAAUCUUCAAGAGAGUAUAUAUUGUUAAAUCAUCUUUUCUUUUUUUUGCAUGUGAGAAUAACACUACUAGUUUCAUUUCUUGAUCCUCAGGUUUCUGAUUAUGAGAAAGAGAUUGAGACAAUGAAGAACAUGUCCCAGGAAGAGUAUGUUGCCUAUGUACGGAGGUAUGCAUGGUAGAGCCAACUGAUAUCCAAUUUUUUUCAUGGCUUAAUAUAAUAAUUGGUUGCUGGCAUUCUAUCAAUGGCAGAAAAAGCAGUUGUUUCUCUAGGGGGGCAUCGAUUUACAGAGGAGUGACGAGGUUGUUUGUACAUUCUUGUCUAUCUACUUUUUUUUUAAAUGUUUCUUCAUAUAAUGUGUUGAGGUUGAUACUAAUCAAAUCUGUUACUCCUAUCGCACUUGGUGGGGCAUUCUGGUUGAGAAGACGGAAAGAUGGUAAGUGGCAAGCUCGAAUUGGUCGUGUUGGUGAAAGCAGGGAUGCCAAAGAUAUCUACCUUGGAACCUUUGGUAAGCAUUAUACCCCCUAUCAUCGCUCUUCCUUAUCAGAUACUAAAUAGCUUUUGUAGAAGGUUGAGAAAUACCAGUGUUACUAGUAGCUUUCUUCAUUAAAAUCAGAUACUGAGGAAGAAGCUGCAGAAGCCUAUGACAUUGCAGCUAUUGAACUGCGAGGUGUGCAUGCUGUGACUAAUUUUGAUAUCAGCAACUACUGUGAGGGAGGUCUUAAGCGGUUAGAAGGGCCCUGCAAGCUUGAGAUGUGAAGGCCUACAGAUGCUUUAUUGGAAGAUAAAUGUAAAUUUUUUUUUUUCAGGCUGCUGACUGUCCAUCACUGCCCGGAUAUUUUCCAGAAUUUUUCAAAUUUGGAUAGUGUUUUGUCAUAAUGUGCACUGCUGUAAUCCGGUUGGGACGUUAAAGGUUUCAAGUCAAUGAUUGAAAGUACUCUUGUUGACUUUGCUUUUUAGAUGAAGUCAGUGUUCUGGAAUACGGUGUGAAUGGACAAUUUAGUUGCCUUUUCUUUUUAUUUUCCUUAGAUUGAACCAUGUUCCCUUUUUUGUAAGAGAGAAUGAAAGGGGCACAUCAAUAAUAUUAGUUACUCUGGUUUAAAUACUUGCAAUGCACCAAUCACGAUUCAAGCCGGGAAGAAAGAUGCUCAAAUCCUUUUAAAUUCACCAAUCAAGGAGCUCGCAACGUAAAUGCAGUUAGUUGGGAAUUCGGUGUGAUGGCUGUUUUGUGAUAGGUCGAAAAUUCCUUCCCCAGCCCGUGGCCCUUCAGAAAACCAGGUGCCAAGCUGUGGUUUACCCGUGAAAUUAACAUUAUGAGGUAAUAUGGACAUACGUUCAAACUUUUCAAGAAGUUUUCUUGGUUUUACAUGAACCAUUGCCUCUUUCCUGGGAUUGGUGAGGGAGGAAUUGAUGUAGCGUGAUGGGUAAGAGAUUCUGAUUAUUGGUCCUGGGCCACCAGCAGGAUAGUUUGGAUAUACGGGGAAGUAGAGAGGACGACCGGCAGUAGACUGCCAAGCAAGCUAAAGUGGCACUUUGGCCCUCAAAUACUCAGGUCCCUUGUAACAGGGCAUACCACAAAAACAUUUUCAAUCUCAAUUUUGAUGAUACAUCGGUUAAUUUCAACUGCUUUCUGAUUCUUUGGGUGCAGGAUUAUAGUGGCAAAAUCACGAAAGGCAUAGCAAACUGGAGACCAUCCCCUAAGAAUUUUUUCAACGUUUGAUGUCACAUAAAAUCUUGUCCUGAAUCAGUGCAUAACCAGUUGCAAAUACGUAUAACAGUAAUCAAGAAAAGGGAGACAUCAUGUUUAGCCUGAAAAGAGGCAAUAAUGCAAUUAAUCUGACAUUGUGAUGGACACUAGGGCCCUACCGUCGGAAUUAGCUAAUAAGAACAUGUAGCAAGAAGACUCCCUUGCUAAAGAUACACUGUAUCAAGAACAAUUGGCAUCAACACUUGCCUAUCAAAUAUUUCACAUGUACGCAGAAUAUUAAAUGAUGAACAAAAUGGUGAUAAAGAGAGUUGACAGAAUGAUGGAACAAAGAAUAGCACCAUCAGCUACAGGAAAUUUCUAAAUUUAAUGAGUUUAAGAAAUCCUAGUACAAUCAGCAACUGAAGACAAAAGGCAUGAAAAUGAUGUUAAAAAAAAAUGAUGGGCACAGAAAAAUGAUAUGGCAUGACCAAAAGAGCAUGCAAGCCUGUCAUUUUGUAGUCCAAAGAAAAGGAUAAGGCAAGAGCACAAGCUCGAAGAGGAAAUUCAUAUGCCUCAGCUUGUGCAGAUACAUCCCCUCUCCACUCAUGCUGCUGCAUUCUGAUAUAACAAGCCAACGAGGUGCAUGCAGCAUCCACCAGUUGAGGAAAAAAAAGAAAAAUUUACAUUCACCGGUGGAAGGAGCGACUAUAUACAUCAGUAAUUCAGUACUCAGCCUAUCAAGUCAUCCUUUCUGUCAGACACUGAAGCAGGGCCAGAUGUAGAACUUUCUGCAGUCACAAUUGUGUAUUUCUCCUGAAGCCGUGAUCUGUUUUCAGCCCACCACUUUUCUGCUUGUUGCUCACUGAAUCUUUUCCGACUGCACACCAAUCAAGUGAUAAGUAUGCGGUAGUACAGAAAAUUGGUUAGAUGACAGAAAUUCCAAAAAGAUUGUGAACAUGCUAGACCUUUGCAAAUAAAAAUACUCGCAUUUAUGUUCUCCACAAGUGGAAACAAAGUGAUAAAACUUUCAUUCCUGUGAGGCAAUACAAAAAAGUACUUCUAUGUGCAACUCUGUUAUAAGAACAGAAUUACUUGAAUUAAUAGCAUUAUAAUGUUGGCAACAUAUAAUGUGAAAAAGGGGCAAAUUCAUGUGCAUUAUCAUAACGGAAGCAAGAAGUCAUGUGCAUGCACGCAUGCAUGCACAUCACUAAAAGGACAGCUGAAACUGGGUCAGAAUUCAGCAGUCAGAUAGUUUCUUUUAAUAAUCAAGACAUGCAUUUUGUCCAAUAAUGCAAAGAGUGUUGAGGUUUAUAAACAUCAAAAGUUGAGCAAUGUCACUUGAAUAGUGUGUUUGUUGCUUUAGAGGUUUUGACUGUGCCUUUUGUGUUCUUUCUUUCUUUUGCACUGAUUACCCCCAAAAAAAAA